GCACUCCCGGGGCGUCUCUAUCUCAUUACGAGAGGAGGCGCACCUAGAGCGUACACGCUGAUACCCGAAAGAUGGUGAACUAUGCCUGGCCAGGACGAAGCCAGGGGAAACCCUGGUGGAGGUCCGCAGCGAUUCUGACGUGCAAAUCGAUCGUCGGAGCUGGGUUUAGGGGCGAAAGACCAAUCGAACCAUCUAGUAGCUGGUUCCCUCUGAAGUUUCCCUCAGGAUAGCUUGCGCUCAAAUUGAAACGAGUCUCAUCCGGUAGAGCGAAUGAUUAGAGGCCUUGGGGUCGAAACGACCUCAACCUAUUCUCAAACUCCAAAUAGAUGAGAACCCCGGCUUUCUUGAACUUUGUUUAUGAAGCCGGGGGCUUGGAUCAGAGUGCCAAGUGGGCCAAUUUUGGUAAGCAGAACUGGCGCUGUGGGAUGAACCAAACGCGGAGUUAAGGCGCCACAAUCGACGCUCAUGUGAAACCAUGAAAGGCGUUGGUUGCUUAAGACAGCAG
rnacentral:rRNA from 1 species